UACAGAGGGGGCAAGCGUUGUUCGGAAUUACUGGGCGUAAAGGGCGCGUAGGCGGCCCGCUAAGUCGAACGUGAAAUCCCCGAGCUCAACUCGGGAACUGCGUCCGAUACUGGCGGGCUUGAAUCCGGGAGAGGGAUGCGGAAUUCCAGGUGUAGCAGUGAAAUGCGUAGAGAUGUGGAGGAACACCGAUGGCGAAGGCAGCCUCCUGGGCCAGCACUGACGCUCAUGCACGAAAGCGUGGGGAGCAAACAGG
rnacentral:rRNA from 1 species